AAGUUCCGACCCGCACGAAAGGCGUAACGAUUUGGGCACUGUCUCAACGAGAGACUCGGUGAAAUCAUAGUACCUGUGAAGAUGCAGGUUACCCGCGACAGGACGGAAAGACCCCGUGGAGCUUUACUGUAGCCUGAUAUUGAAAUUCGGCACAGCUUGUACAGGAUAGGUAGGAGCCUUUGAAACGUGAGCGCUAGCUUACGUGGAGGCGCUGGUGGGAUACUACCCUAGCUGUGUUGGCUUUCUAACCCGCACCACUUAUCGUGGUGGGAGACAGUGUCAGGCGGGCAGUUUGACUGGGGCGGUCGCCUCCUAAAAGGUAACGGAGGCGCUCAAAGGUUCCCUCAGAAUGGUUGGAAAUCAUUCAUAGAGUGUAAAGGCAUAAGGGAGCUUGACUGCGAGACCUACAAGUCGAGCAGGGUCGAAAGACGGACUUAGUGAUCCGGUGGUUCCGCAUGGAAGGGCCAUCGCUCAACGGAUAAAAGCUACCCCGGGGAUAACAGGCUUAUCUCCCCCAAGAGUUCACAUCGACGGGGAGGUUUGGCACCUCGAUGUCGGCUCAUCGCAUCCUGGGGCUGUAGUCGGUCCCAAGGGUUGGGCUGUUCGCCCAUUAAAGCGGUACGCGAGCUGGGUUCAGAACGUCGUGAGACAGUUCGGUCCCUAUCCGUCGUGGGCGUAGGAAAUUUGAGAGGAGCUGUCCUUAGUACGAGAGGACCGGGAUGGACAUACCUCUGGUGUACCAGUUGUCGUGCCAACGGCAUAGCUGGGUAGCUAUGUGUGGACGGGAUAAGUGCUGAAAGCAUCUAAGCAUGAAGCCCCCCUCAAGAUGAGAUUUCCCAACUUCGGUUAUAAGAUCCCUCAAAGAUGAUGAGGUUAAUAGGUUCGAGGUGGAAGCAUGGUGACAUGUGGAGCUGACGAAUACUAAUCGAUCGAAGACUUAAUCAAAA
rnacentral:rRNA from 1 species